UCCCUGGUGGCUCAGUGGUAGAGAAUCUGCCUACCAAUGCAGGAGACGUGGGUUCGAUCCCCGAUCUAGGAA
rnacentral:tRNA from 1 species